AUUCUACUCCCUCCGUUCCACAAUACAUGCCUUCUAUUUGUCAAAAUAUAGAUGUAUCUAGACAUGUUUUACUAUAUAGGUACAUCCAUUUUUGGACAAAUGGAAGUCAAGUAUUUUGGAACGGAGGGAGUACACA
rnacentral:pre_miRNA from 1 species